rnacentral:misc_RNA from 1 species
UGCACUAUCAUCUAUAAAAUCAACAUCAUAUUCAUCAUCAUAUUCACAACUUCCUUUCUUCCUCGACCUAUGGUUGUUUCUUCCUUUCUUUACUGAAGGCUUCUUAGAAACCCUGGAUUUCCUCAGUUUCCUUGGACCUUGCCCGAAGCCCCUUUUCUGCCUCCUCCUCUUGCCCACUUUCAUGUUAUUACUCUUCUUUUUCAUUGUUAAUUCUUCAUCCUCAUCCAGAAAAUCAUCAUCUUCAUCAAGAGUGAAUUCCUCAUCAUCGCCAUCAUCAUUGUCAUCAUGAACAUAAUCCUCAUCUUCCUCCUCAUAAGAUACCCUUUUUCUUUUCCGUGAAGUUUUACCGCCAAUUUUUCCAUUUGGUUGAGAACGCUUGUUAUUUUUGGAUCUAACAUUCCUAAACUCCUCCUCCUCCUCCUCCUCUUCUACAUAACUACCAAAACUCUCCUCUGAUGCAUAAUCAUCUAAAGAAUUGCCCAAAUCGUCUGAAUCAUCAUCAGAUGCAUUUUCCUCAAUUUCAACCACAUAAUCCUCAUCUGAAUCAUCAGAACCCUUAUCUUUAGACCUAACCCUCUUCUUAAAAUUUCUCUUACAAUUAACCUUCCCUCCUCUUCCCAUCUAUUUUGUACACACAAAAAA